UACGGAGGGUGCAAGCGUUAUCCGGAUUCACUGGGUUUAAAGGGUGCGUAGGCGGACAGGUAAGUCAGUGGUGAAAUCUCUGGGCUUAACCCAGAAACUGCCGUUGAUACUAUUUGUCUUGAAUAUCCUGGAGGUAGGCGGAAUAUGUCAUGUAGCGGUGAAAUGCUUAGAUAUGACAUAGAACACCGAUAGCGAAGGCAGCUUACUACAGGACGAUUGACGCUGAGGCACGAAAGCGUGGGGAGCAAACAGG
rnacentral:rRNA from 1 species